UGUAGACUUCACUGAACGUGGGGUUCCAUAGAUUUAAAUUUACGAAACUGAGCUUCGGUAUAAGCACUCACACCACCCAGACAGCACACGUACGUCUGGCCGACGUCGGCCCAAUAUCGAAACGUCGGCCUCACUACCUGAAACAUCUAAUAAACAUCGGCCAGGCGUAGGUCGAUAUAAUUCGGUCAGUGCUCUGUUUUCCAGCUCAUCAGUCGUCGGCUCUGAGUCGGUUCACGACCACAGGCCGAUGCCGCGCUUUUCUGUUUGCGGCGAGCCCAGUUAUUCGUCUCUUAGCAACCCACAGAGAGAAGACACUCAUCCCGGCUACAUCUGUGCUUUCAGGUAAGAUUUCACUUCAGCUAAAUUACAAACAAAUACUACUUUGUUAACUCUGUGACACUUAAAAGGUACUAGUUAGGCACAGUUGGUGUGCUACAGCACAGGUGAAGAGACUGUGGCUAAUUUCCAACUAACUUGUUUAGCUAACGGUCACGCUAGCGAUUUUUAAAAUUAAUAUUUAUGCCUUAAUGCGUUUCCAGACAUUUCUCUGAGGGGAAAUGUUAAAGCGGAUUAUUAAAGAGAAGUCCUAACUGCUUUUUCGCCGUGUUUUUCACUCUUUUACAGGCUGCCAGAAAGAAUCCGUCUCUAUACGGCGAGAUAUUGUUGCUGUUGCUUUUUGAACUACAAAUUGAGUUUUAAGUUCAUUAUUGAAUAUUAAUUGAACGAGACUGUAAUUUAUUAAUGUAAUAUUUUAAUCCUAUAUGUUUAUUUGUGUAAAUGCUGUGUGCGCGUUGAGCUCUGCGCGAGCGGGGAGCAGAGUUGCCAUGGAAACGGGGCGUUGACACAACUACUGGCGAACAGUAAUCUCCGUCUCUCGCUGCGGUUUCCACUGAUUUCAGGAGGACAGAAAGAAACUCUACAUAACAGAAGGGAAGCUCCAAGAUUUCUGAAGGGAGCUACUGACUUAGAAAAAUACAGAUUCUUCAGUGGUGAUGGCCUGCUGCACCCAGCAGAGUUGGAGUGAACCUACUGUCAGACAGUGGCGUACCGUGGGGUUUCAGUCAGGGCCUUCAAUUCUUCAGUGCUGAUGGCCUGCUGCACCCAGCAGAGUCAGUGUGAACUCCUGUAAGACAACAUCAACAAGAUGCUAUAAACCGCAGGAUUAGAUGCCCAUCCCGAUGUUACUAGAGAUGAAGCCAGCUCCAGUUUGGAUCCAAACUCACUUGUGAAGAUGCCAACGCUCACAAAGACUACAGAUGACGGCUACUGUACAUGGACACACAAAACACUGGACACACAAAACAAA